rnacentral:rRNA from 1 species
CAGUCGCCGCGGUAAUACGGAGGGUGCAAGCGUUAAUCGGAAUUACUGGGCGUAAAGCGCACGCAGGCGGUUUGUUAAGUCAGAUGUGAAAUCCCCGAGCUUAACUUGGGAACUGCAUUUGAAACUGGCAAGCUAGAGUCUUGUAGAGGGGGGUAGAACUCCAGGUGUAGCGGUGAAAUGCGUAGAGAUCUGGAGGAAUACCGGUGGCGAAGGCGGCCCCCUGGACAAAGACUGACGCUCAGGUGCGAAAGCGUGGGGAGCAAACAGGAUUAGAUACCCCGGUAGUCCCUGUCUCUUAUAC